rnacentral:rRNA from 1 species
ACACCAAGAAUUAAGUCAUAUUAUGGUAAAAAGAUAGUUCUAUUUAAUGUAAUGUAUAGGGGUAAAAUCCAAGUACGAUUAUUUAAUUUAAAGAUAGCUUAGGAGCUGAAUCUAUGAAAUCCUUGAGGGAAACUGGGAUUAGGUACCCCAUUAUUCUUGGGUGUAAAUAGAUGAAGGUCUACCAGAGUACUAUGAAUAAUGUAAAAUUUAAAACCCAAAGAACUUGGCGGUGUUUUAGACCACCUAGGGGAACCUGUCUCGUAAUUGACAAUCCACGUUGCACCUGACCUUUUUUUGUUUUCAGUUUGUAUACCGUUGUCGUCAGGUAACUUUUUAGAAGGGAGAAGUUGGCUAUAGAAAGGUGAUUUAGUACGUCAAAUCAAGGUGCAGCUAAUAAAAGGGGGAGGAUGGGUUACAGUUAUAUAGUUAUAAACGGAAGGAGGACUUAGAAGUAAAUUGAACUGUGGAAGCAGUUUGAAUGAGGCUCUGAAACGUGU